rnacentral:lncRNA from 10 species
GGUUCACGCGAUUCUCCUGCCUCAGCCUCCCAAGUAGCUGGGACUACAGGCCCAGCUCCAUGAUGAUGCCUCUCUCCAGAGACCUCCUGACCUCCUGACCUGCACAGCCCGGGAGACCACAGCCCACAGCCGCUGCCCCAGGUGUCCACAAGCAUCUCAGCCCCUCCACAGCCCACGCAUCUCCUCUUUCAUUGGCUCAUGGGGAGUGAAGGACAAUGUCUGAAUUAAAUGCCGUGCUUUAAACUGAAAGGGAAACUUAGCAAAUAAAUGAGAGUAACAAC